AUAAAAUAAAUGAGCCUCUGGAAAAAUUUUUAAGAAACAGAAAAAAAUA
rnacentral:sRNA from 1 species